GGCAUAAAUAAAAGAAUAUCAUUCAUUCAACUCUAAUGAACUGCAAGAAUCUAAAUUUGAAUACAAGACAGUUAGAACCAAAGAUGAUAAUAAUAUUGGUCCUCACAAAUGGUGAGAACAGGUAUCACCAAGAUAAAAUGCAAAAAGCUACACCCUCCAAGCUAUUUCACAGAACCAUUAGUAAUGCAUACACCAUCCUGAUACUAAGUAUACUCUCUAUAUGUUGCACCUAUCAUAUCCAGAAAACCAUGAUGAGGGUUCUGCAAGUUUCGAUAACUCACCACAUUCACCGUUAUUAUAAAAUGGCUCAAAUUCCUCCCUCCAUCGGUCACCUUCACUAAGAUCUGUAUCAUACUUGGCUGUUUCACCAUCAUUAUGAGCAGGUUGUAUUGCUUCUUUGGGUAGGCGAGACUCUGCAAGGAGCUCGUUAAGAGUGUUUAUCUCGUUUUCAUGUUUUCUCUUCAAUUUAUCAAUCUGUUUUUUAUAUGCCUUUGCAGUUUCUUGUUCUGCAUCCAUUGCUCGUUUCUACAAAAACAAACCAAGUUAAAAAAGCAAUGAAAGUAUGUGUCAUAACCAAACUUCACCAGUGGAUGAAUAAAUCAGAAAAUUUAAAAAGCUCAUGCAAUGCUAGACGACACGUGUCCUAUAUUCAUAACUCACCAUUUCUUUCCCCAGUAUUUGUAAGCAGAACGUAUCUAGCACAUUUUCCAGUUAUACAAGCAUUUCGUGCACAAAUCACACACUUGUCUAAGCAUGUCUAGCAAGCAAUUCUGAAGUUUCAAUAUUCUGUUGAAAGCCAAAUGUUGAUAAAAAAAAUGCAUUUAACAACUUGAGAUAAAAUUUUAAGAGAAAAAAAUAAAAGAAAUGAGGAUGGAGAAAAUUUUUUAAAUUACAUUUAUGACCAUGAGCUUUUACAAGGAAAAAAAAAACUAUUAACAAAGGAUCAAAAAGCAAUUUAUUAAUUUUCCUCUCACUUAACUCUCCAUUCUGGGCAAUAAGAUUUGCUGCGUCCAAAUUUUGAAUUAUUCUCCCAAUGCCCUUUGCCCUUUCAUUUUCAUUUCUCUCCACGUCUAAACAAGGUAACCUCCAAUUUUCCUUUCUAAAAUUUUUUAUUUACCUUCUAGAGGAAAAAAAAUGCAUUGACUAUAUUGGACUCAUUAUGUGAAGCAAACAAGGUCAUAUAAUAAUUAUAACAAACUUCUGAUCAAAGCAAACUAACAGGGAACCAAAACUACCUCUGCAGCAGCAACAGCUUCUUCUGCUUCUUUCAGCCUUACUAGUAAUUCACCAGCAGCUUGUACAGCCUCAGCAGUAUCCCUCAAUUGAGACUGAAGUGCUUUAUUUUCAUCUCUAAGAUAUCGUCUCUCUUUUUCUCUUUCCACUUUCAAUGCCGAAAUUUCUGCAGCAAGGGCAUUUAUAAACUUGGAUUCAGCACCCCUUACUCCAGCUUUAGAGGCAGCUUUCUUGACAUCGUCUAUUCCUUCCUGGAUCUUUCUGUGCCUUGCAAGUAAUUGAAUAUGUUUUUCCUCAAGAUCUGCAUAUUGUUCAAGCAUGCGUGCAUGACCCUCCAUGGCCAAUUGCAUUGCUUCCUUCCACUCUUCUGCACAUCUCUUCUCUGUCUCUAAUUCCUGCCACCUUUUUUCAGCUAGCACCCUGGUAGCAUCAAGUUCUGUCCUCAAUUCUUCAGCAAGCGAAAUCCACUUGCUCUCUGCCUCAGUCCAGCGCACUCUCUCCUGUUCAAGUUUCAAUUCAGCACUCCCCUCAACAGCCUCCGGAAUUGUGCUAAGAGAUGGAGCCACGCUUGGCUCAGUUGAACAGGUCAACCGCAAUAUUGAAUUUCUUUUCAGUGCAGAUGUGGAUGAAGAGUCAACAUAGUACUGCAACUGGUUUCUUAAAUCUUGAAUUUCUUCCAACAGCACCUCCCUUUCACCCAAAUCACAGAAAUUUCGGUAAUGUUCUAGCUCAUCUUGAACUCUUUUCAGCUCAAUAUUUGUUCUUAGAACUUCAGGAUGAUUCUCAUAUUUCUCCUUCAAAAGCUUAUGUUCAUGCAUAAGUGAUGCUAUCUCUUCCUCCAUGAACUCCUCAGUGGGUAAAACACCAUCCAUAAGGCUUUCAAGGCGAAGAAUUUUAUCCUCCCUUGUUUGCCCUAUUAUGGCAUUGCAUUCUCUCUCAUGCUUAUACUGUUGCACCAAACGCUUAAGCUGCAUUAUCUCAGAAGUUUGUUUGGCACAAAACUCCUCCAGAGCCAUUUCUCUCCGGAUGGCUCCCGCCAAAACCUUCUCCACUGCUUUGGGAACUUGGUUUUUGGAUUUAUCAGCAGACUCUGAGCCAUCGAUACGUACUAACUGCAAGUUUGAGUUGUCAUCAGCAUCUUUGUCCUCCAGUUUUUUCUUGCUCUUGCAGCUCUUACAAAAAAAUGCCACAUCAUCUUCUUGUGGUACAUCAUUAUCUUGAGGAAAAGUUUGCACACCUGCAUCAACUUUUUCAAGCAGUGAAAUUUUCUUACAUUCUGCCGGUCUACAUGAAAACCUAAAGGAUGAUCCCCUGAAUGCUGAACUCUUGCGGUGACCAUCAAUAAUUUCUAAGCCUCGAUGGAGGCUAGCUGCCAAAUGCUGCAUUGGUGCAAGAAAACUUUUACUUGCUUGGGUAGCCAGAGCAUUAGAAGAGCUGCUUUUCAUGGAUUUUGCAAAAGAUACACGUACAUCCUCUUGGUUUGAGUUACUUUCAUCCUUUAAAUCUUUCUGGGAAGCUGCUAAUAUUGAUGAAGUACGGAGACUUUUCCUGCUGCUGUUGAUUCUUGGAGAAACACACGGAGUUGGAGAUUUAAGAACUGGUGAUGCUUCACACGGGACUAUGCUAAGGCUAGUAGGUGAUGCACAAUUCAAUGCAUUGUUUUGAGAAUCAUUGGCAUCACCUGCCACUAAAACUCCCAUAGAAGGUCCAGUUUGAGAAUCAGAUACAGCACAUAAAGUACGAACUUCCACCAUUCUGCUAGGUGAUUCUUCAGUUAACAAUUUACUGACAGAGGAGCUAAAAUUCCCUUUCUCCUUGUCAUUAUUAUUGGAGGGCUUUCCAGAAGAAUCUUCAUCUUGUGUGUGAACGAGUAAAUGGACUGGUUCCUUGUCAAUAACAUUAGAAUAACCUUGGGAAUUUCUAACAGUAUCAGCACAGUCAACAAUCAUAAUUUCAUGUUUAUCCUGUUCACAUGUUCCUUCUUCCAUCUCAACAUCUGCAUCAGGACUUUGUUCUAUAAUACGCCUACUUUUGUCUACAGUAUUGCAAUCUUCAGUCCCCGCUGGUUGCAUUCCUGCUUCGAUGCAAAGAUUUUCAACAGCUUCCUCAUCAAUUUCCAUCUCCUCAUCACCAUCCUCAUCUACUUGAGGUAGUCGUGGAUGUGGAUGAAUAAGGCUUUUCAAUAGGUUCAAACUUUUUCGAGGAUCCCAACCUGUUGGGUUGUUGCUAUUUGACUUCACUCGAUGUAAUUCAUCCCUUAGCUGCCGGAUUACUUCUCGCAAGUGAUUCACAUCAUCCUCCAUCUCUUCAUUAACAACUGCCUUAUUCUUAAUUGCCUUUGCACGCUGCGCGAACCGCAAUGUACUGAAAGUCUCACUCUUACAACUUUGUGCAGGAGAAACAGCACAAACCAUUGCUAAUUUUGCAUUGCCACCAAGAGAUUC
rnacentral:misc_RNA from 1 species